rnacentral:rRNA from 1 species
CCUACGGGAGGCAGCAGUAGGGAGUUUUCGGCAAUGGGGGGAACCCUGACCGAGCAACGCCGCGUGAACGAUGAAGGUCUUCGGAUCGUAAAGUUCUGUUGUAGCUAGGGAAAGCACGGGAGAGUGGAAAGCUCUCGUUUUGACCCAACUACCAGAAAGCCACGGCUAACUACGUGCCAGCAGCCGCGGUAAU